GAGUAAUGCAUAGGUUAUGUGCCCUUUAGUCUGGGAUAGCCACUGGAAACGGUGAUUAAUACUGGAUACAAUAAAGAAUUCGCAUGAAUUUUUUAUUGAGUGCUCUCGCUAAAGGAUCAGCCUAUGUCCUAUCAGCUUGUUGGUGAGGUAAUGGCUCACCAAGGCUAUGACGGGUAUCCGGCCUGAGAGGGUGAUCGGACACACUGGAACUGAGACACGGUCCAGACUCCUACGGGAGGCAGCAGUAGGGAAUAUUGCUCAAUGGGGGAAACCCUGAAGCAGCAACGCCGCGUGGAGGAUGAAGGUUUUAGGAUUGUAAACUCCUUUUGUAAGAGAAGAUUAUGACGGUAUCUUACGAAUAAGCACCGGCUAACUCCGUGCCAGCAGCCGCGGUAAUACGGAGGGUGCAAGCGUUACUCGGAAUCACUGGGCGUAAAGAGCGCGUAGGCGGGAAAGUAAGUCAGAUGUGAAAUCCUGUAGCUUAACUACAGAACUGCAUUUGAAACUACUUUUCUAGAGUAUGGGAGAGGUAGGUGGAAUUCUUGGUGUAGGGGUAAAAUCCGUAGAGAUCAAGAGGAAUACUCAUUGCGAAGGCGACCUGCUGGAACAUUACUGACGCUGAUGCGCGAAAGCGUGGGGAGCAAACAGGAUUAGAUACCCUGGUAGUCCACGCCCUAAACGAUGAAUGCUAGUUGUUGCCCUGCUUGUCAGGGCAGUAAUGCAGCUAACGCAUUAAGCAUUCCGCCUGGGGAGUACGGUCGCAAGAUUAAAACUCAAAGGAAUAGACGGGGACCCGCACAAGCGGUGGAGCAUGUGGUUUAAUUCGAAGAUACGCGAAGAACCUUACCUAGGCUUGACAUUGAUAGAAUCCGCUAGAGAUAGUGGAGUGUCCUUGAGACCUUGAAAACAGGUGCUGCACGGCUGUCGUCAGCUCGUGUCGUGAGAUGUUGGGUUAAGUCCCGCAACGAGCGCAACCCUCGUCCUUAGUUGCUAGCAGUUCGGCUGAGCACUCUAAGGAGACUGCCUUCGUAAGGAGGAGGAAGGUGAGGACGACGUCAAGUCAUCAUGGCCCUUACGCCUAGGGCUACACACGUGCUACAAUGGGGCAUACAAUGAGACGCAAUACCGCGAGGUGGAGCAAAUCUCUAAAAUGUCUCUCAGUUCGGAUUGUAGUCUGCAACUCGACUACAUAAAGCUGGAAUCGCUAGUAAUCGUGAAUCAGCAAUGUCACGGUGAAUACGUUCCCGGGUCUUGUACUCACCGCCCGUCACACCAUGGGAGUUGUAUUCGCCUUAAGUCGGGAUACUAA
rnacentral:rRNA from 1 species